AAGGAACACUACCCAGGACUGCAGCUUUAAAGGUUACAGCAUCCCCAAGGGCACAAGGGUUAUUUACAACGUAUGGCGUGUACACCACGACGAAUCAUUUUGGGAGAAUCCCUUCACGUUUGAUCCAACCAGAUUCUUGGAUGAUAAUGGCGAACUUCUGCCAUCGGAGGAUGAAAAGCGUCAGAGACUGCUGACGUUUGGUGUCGGAAAGCGUUCUUGUAUUGGUGAGAAGCUGGCCCGAGUCAGGAUAUUUCUUGGACUGACGUCUAUCCUGCAAAACUUCGACCUUGUUCGUGAUCCGUCAGAGCCUUUCCCUUCAUCCGACCCGAGCACAUACGAGCCUAAAUUUAUCUUACAGCCACCUCCAUACAGGCUGCAGUUCAAACCCUAGACAUUGAAAGUCGCAUUGUCCCUGUU